rfam:Drosophila simulans chromosome 3R, whole genome shotgun sequence.
CCUUCGAUAGCUCAGUUGGUAGAGCGGUGGACUGUAGUUGGAAAACAUGCAAUAGAAAUCCAUAGGUCGCUGGUUCAAAUCCGGCUCGAAGGA